UCUGCAUGCUGUAUUUCUCUGCACCUGUGUCUGAGUUGUACCACCAUUAACGUCACAAAUACUUUUUUUUUCUUCAAACAUGUUAAUUCAAAUGCAUGGCAGAAUUUUCAAAAUACAUUCCAAUAUUAAACUACUUCUGUUUUUAAAUUUAAAAAAUCCUAAUAUUUUCUUCUAAAUGUCUUUGAAAAUAAGUGAAAGACCCCAAAUAGUAUUUUAAAUAAAGUCUGAUAUUCAGUGGACAAACCUGCCUAGUGGGAACCAAGACAUCUGAUGUUGAAAAUGCAUUUUUUUAUUUUUAUAUUUGACUUGAAUUUAUGAAGAACACUGAAGUUAAUUGUUUUACCUAAAAUCGGCCAGUAAGUGAGACCUGAACCUAUAACCAUCCACUUCAUUCUCUCUGUAUGUCUUUGUGUAACAAGUUACUGUAGAGGUUCUGAAGCUUGUACCAUGACCAAGGACUAGAUUCAAUCCAUAUUGAGCCCCAUAUGCAGCCUUUAAAUUUCACUUGUGUGGAUCUUCAGAGGUCCAAUUUGAAUCCAGGCCAAAAACCAUGGAGAUGAACUAAACAAGUGCAAGAAACAAACACUAGAAAACAUCCACUGUGUCAUGUCAUUUGUUCCUCUUCCUGUCAGAUCUCUGCCAGUCUACAGAAACAAGAGCAGCAGACAAAUUUCAUCAUUAUGAUCUCCGCCAUCACAAAGGGCCAGAAACAAACAGAUGGCCUCAAAUUUAUUUAAAAAAUGUAUCUAGGCAAGUCAGUUAAGAACAAAUGAUUAUAUUCAAUGACGGCCUAGGAACAGUCGGUUAACUGUCUUGUUCAGAGGCAGAAUGACAGAUUUUUACCUUAUCAACUCUCGGAUUCGAUCUUGGAACCUAUCGGUUACUAGUCCAACGCGCUAACAACUAGGCUACCUGCCGCCCCAACGGAGAAAAAAAGGUUGCUGCUGAAAGCGGAGAGUGAGGUACAGAAGAUGGAGAAGAAAUUGGAGGAGGAGGUCACUGGGAUGGAGCUCACAUUGCAGGGUGAAGAACCUGGGAGGUUGCUUCAGGAUUACAAUGCCCUGCAGAAAGGCUCAGUUGAUGCAUCUCCAUACUGUGUCAGUCUGGACCCAGAGAAGAGAGUUGUUCAGGCAGGAUAAAGAGAGAUGCUCCACAUGGAGGUGGACAGGAUCUGGAAGGACCAAGGUUCUGCCGCUAGGACAGCUUUACGUGUAGAUCCUACAGCUUCUUAUGCUUCACUGUCCACACUGAAACAAUGUGUGCCAGAAGAGGAGCUGGGGGAGGAUUGGGAGUAGAGACGGGGACCUAUGAGGACGUUGGAGUUUCCUACCUCAGAGAAAUUAUAUUUUACUGGGACACCUUGUCUCUCUGUUAACCAAGGAGACCUUAGACCUCGUCAGGUCCGAAGUAGCAGACCACCCGUCUCCCAGGGACCGUAGGAUGCCCAACGUCAAAGAGAUGAUUCCACGUCUUACGGAGGACGACGAUGUGGAGGCCUAUCUUCUGGCCUGCGAACGAACGACGCAGAGAGAGAGAUGACCUCCGGAUGACUGGACGGGCCUCUUGGCUCCCCUGAUCACAGGCAAAGCCCAGGCGGUGUACUAUGACAUUGAGGAAGGGGUUGCUAUUUAUUACGCACGUCUGAAGCCAGAGAUUCAGUCCCGCUAUCAGCUGAACCCCAGAGACCGGGCCCAAAGGUUUCAUGACUGGAAGUCACCGAGGGGCCAGCUCUAUCAGCUUCUUUGUCUGUUCCAUCUCCGACCCUACAGGCUACCAGAAGCACGCCGGGAGAUGGUACGGAAAGAGGGGAGGGAGAUGUUGAAGAUGGGGGUCAUCGAGCCAUCCUCCAGCGACUGGUCCAGCCCUAUCACCCUGGUGCUGAAACCCGAUUGGUCUAUUCGCUUCUGCAACGAUUUCAGAGCCCUCAACGCCAUCUCCAGGUUUGACGCCUACCCCAUGCCUACCCCAUCGACCUCAUAAAGGGCUACUGGCAGAUGCCUCUGGCCCCCGAAGACCAUCACAAAUCCACCUUUGCCACUCCGGAUGGAUUAUUUCAGUACGUUCACCUACCCUUUGGCUUGCACGGAUUAUCUGCCACCUUCGAGUGGAUUAUGGACACGCUGUUAUGUCCUCAUCAGGCCUUCGCCGCCUUUAUUGAUGACGUGUUAAUACACAGUGAGGACUGGGAGGACCACCUCCGCCAGCUGCGCUCUGUGCUGGCCAGCCAACCCAAAGAAGUGCCAACUGGGACUGAACGUGGCUGAAUACCUCGGCUACAUUAUCGGCAGCGGUCUGAUCAAACCACAGGUGGAGAAGACUUUGAAGUGUCCGCCACAUUGUUGAGAGCCCCCAGCUUUCCAGCAGCCCUCCACGGUCCACGCCUCCAGCACCGGCUUGGGGGCUGUUCUGUCCCAAGGGUACAGGCGGAGGAGCCCAAGAAGUGACUGGACAUGUUUUUACAUUUAACCUUUAUUUAACUAGGCUAGCCAGUUAAGAACAAAUUCGUAUUUACAAUGACGGCCUCCCCCGGCCAAACCCUGAAGUCACCCUAUGGGACUCCCGAUCACAGCCAGAUCUGAUGCAGCCUGGAUUUGAACCAAGGACUGCAGUGAUGCCUCUUGUACUGAAAUGCAAUGCCUCAGACCGCUGUGCCAUUGGGACAACCCAGGUCACUCAAGAAAUAGGACUCUUUAGCCAGCACAUUUGGACAACCUGUGAUUGCGAAGUUGCCACACAACUAAAUAUGCUACUGCAAAACAUUUUUAAGCUUUUUUAAACUCUCACUCUACCUCAAUAUUUACUGAUUGAUUGAUUCUACAUUGAACAAAAAUAUAAACGCAACAUGUAAAGUGUUGGUCUCAUGUUUCAUGAGCUGAAGUACAAGAUCCCAGAAAUGUUCUAUACUGUU